CCUACGGGGGGCUGCAGUGGGGAAUAUUGGACAAUGGGGGAAACCCUGAUCCAGCAAUGCCGCGUGUGUGAAGAAGGCCUGCGGGUUGUAAAGCACUUUCGGUUGGGAAGAAAAGUUUGGCGCCAAUACCGCCGAACCUUGACGUUACUGACAGAAGAAGCACCGGCUAACUCUGUGCCAGCAGCCGCGGUAAUACAGAGGGUGCAAGCGUUAAUCGGAACGUCUGGGCGUAAAGCGGGCGGUGGGGUGCGACAGCCCCGGGCUUAACCUGGGAACUGCAUUCGAUACUGCAUGGCUAGAGUAUGGUAGAGGGAAGUGGAAUUUCCGGUGUAGCGGUGAAAUGCGUAGAUAUCGGAAGGAACACCAAUGGCGAAGGCAGCUUCCUGGACUAAUACUGACACUGAGGCACGAAAGCGUGGGUAGCAAACAGGAUUAGAUACCCCAGUAGUC
rnacentral:rRNA from 1 species